GGCAGCCUAGGCGAGGGCACCAACUGGACAGAGGCCUCCGGUCAGCCUCACUCUGACUGCAACCCCCUCUCACUAGACAGCAUCACCUGGACACAGAGCCUCACCUAGUCUGUGUCCCAUGGACACAACUUUGCUUUGGACAGUGACACCAAGAAUACUCACCCCUUUACUUAGCCAGACCACAGGCAGCCACCUGGACACAAACAUCUCUCCAGAGUCACCCUCCACAUAGACUCCACAGCAGAACUCCCAGGGAGGCACUGGGGCAUGGCUUCAGAGCACCAGGCAGCCCUCCGCGGUGCCCAGCACCCGCUCAGCCAGGGCAGCCUGCAGCGGAGCCUGGAGCCCGCAGCUUCUCAUCUCUUGGCCUCGGGAAAUGUAGCGGGAGUCAUCAUUUAGCAGAGCACGGUGUCCCUGGGUUGGCCACCCAGCUUAGUUUUAAAAUAAA
rnacentral:lncRNA from 1 species